GCUCGAUUAUUCUUAUGUAUUAACCUUCAAUCCAUCAUACAUGAUUUAAAGAAAUAGAUGGGGACAUUUUUCUUGUCCUUCCUGUGUUCCUUAGAUAUUGUUUCUUAAUGUGUAUUUCUUUUAACUAUAUCCCUUAGAUACUUAAUACCUGAACAGGAAUCAGUGAUGUUGCCGGGGUGGUGGUGAGGUGGUGGUAUGUUGACCUGAG